rnacentral:rRNA from 1 species
GAGUAGUGGCGAGCGAAAUUGGAUCAGCCUGUACGAUUUAGCAUUUGAGUUAACAAAACGGUCUUGAAAGUCCGGCCAUAGAAGGUGAUAGCCCUGUAUGUGAAAACUCGAUUGUGGAACUAGGCGUACGACAAGUAGGGCGGGGCACGAGAAACCCUGUCUGAACGUAGGGGGACCACCCUCUAAGCCUAAGUACUCAUGACUGACCGAUAGUGAACUAGUACCGUGAGGGAAAGGCGAAAAGAACCCCGGGAGGGGAGUGAAACAGUACCUGAAACCGAACGCCUACAAGCAGUUGGAGGGUCCUUGAGACCUGACAGCGUACCUCUUGCAUAAUGGGUCAGUGACUUAGUGUAACAAGCAAGCUUAAGCCGUUAGGUGUAGGCGCAGCGAAAGCGAGUCUGAAUAGGGCGUUGAGUAUUUGGUCGUAGACCCGAAACCAGGUGAUCUACCCUUGGUCAGGUUGAAGUUCAGGUAACACUGAAUGGAGGACCGAACCGACUUACGUUGAAAAGUGAGCGGA